CAUUAGGCAGUUGGCGGGGUAACGGCCCACCAAACCGACGAUGGAUAGGGGUUCUGAGAGGAAGGUCCCCCACAUUGGUACUGAGACACGGACCAAACUCCUACGGGAGGCAGCAGUGAGGAAUAUUGGUCAAUGGGCGUAAGCCUGAACCAGCCAAGUCGCGUGAGGGAUGAAGGUUCUAUGGAUCGUAAACCUCUUUUAUAAGGGAAUAAAGUGCGGGACGCGUCCCGUUUUGUAUGUACCUUAUGAAUAAGGAUCGGCUAACUCCGUGCCAGCAGCCGCGGUAAUACGGAGGAUCCGAGCGUUAUCCGGAUUUAUUGGGUUUAAAGGGUGCGUAGGCGGCCUUUUAAGUCAGCGGUGAAAGUCUGUGGCUCAACCAUAGAAUUGCCGUUGAAACUGGGAGGCUUGAGUAUGUUUGAGGCAGGCGGAAUGCGUGGUGUAGCGGUGAAAUGCUUAGAUAUCACGCAGAACCCCGAUUGCGAAGGCAGCCUGCCAAGCCAUGACUGACGCUGAUGCACGAAAGCGUGGGGAUCAAACAGGAUUAGAUACCCUGGUAGUCCACGCAGUAAACGAUGAUCACUAGCUGUUUGCGAUACAC
rnacentral:rRNA from 1 species